rnacentral:rRNA from 1 species
UACGGGGGGGGCAAGCGUUGUUCGGAAUUACUGGGCGUAAAGGGCUCGUAGGCGGCCAACUAAGUCAGACGUGAAAUCCCUCGGCUUAACCGGGGAACUGCAUCUGAUACUGGAUGGCUUGAGUUCGGGAGAGGGAUGCGGAAUUCCAGGUGUAGCGGUGAAAUGCGUAGAUAUCAGGAGGAACACCGGUGGCGAAGGCGGCUUUCUGGACAGUAACUGACGCUGAGGCGCGAAAGCUAGGGGAGCAAACAGG